rnacentral:lncRNA from 1 species
GUUGGUUAUUUAUUGCGUUGGACAACUUUAGGAAACUCGUUAAGGAAAGAAAACAAAUAAGAAACAGACGUCAGUCAGAAGGUGAGAACUCAGUGGAUAAUCAGAAUGAACGAACAGUUAGAAAAUCAUUGAACGGAGUAACGAAAGAUGUUCAGAUCACUUUACCGACAACUGAAACUCUUAAUAGAUCAGAAAUGGCUAUCAUUAAAUAUGAACAAAGUGUUCACUUUGAAGAAGAAAUACAUGUACUUCAAAAUAUAGACCGAGGUAAAGUGUUAAAGAAGUCAUCUAAACUCUUCAAACUUAAUCCAUUUAUAGACGAGAAUGGUUUGUUAAGAGUAGGAGGAAGAUUAGAGCGUGCUGAAUUACCGUAUGAUGCGAAACAUCCAAUAUUAUUACCGAAAGACUCUAACAUUUCAAAGUUGAUCAUUGAAGAUAUUCACCGUUCAGUAGGACACUUGGGUAAAAACUCAAUUCUGGCGCAACUAAGGCAAACAUUUUGGAUUAUUGGUGCUAGCUCUAUGAUUAAAGGAAUAGUAUCAAAAUGUGUAAUCUGUAGGAAGUACUGUGCACCAUUUGUUGACCAAAAAAUGGCUAAUUUUCCAAAGGAGAGACUUAUAUCCGAUAAACCACCAUUUACGAUGGUUGGAAUGGACUUUUUUGGACCGUUUCAGAUCAAACAAGGAAGAAGUUUAGUGAAACGAUAUGGGGUUAUCUUUACUUGUCUCUCCAUCCGUGCCGUUCACUUGGAAACCGCACAUUCUAUGGAUACAGAUUCUUGUAUAAACGCAAUCAGACGUUUGAUAUCUCGCAGAGGAAAGCCAGAAUUCAUAUUAAGAUCAGAUAACGGAACAAAUCUAGUUGGAGCAGAAAGAGAAAUGAGAGAAGAAAUAGAAAGAUGGAACAUAGACAAGAUAAAUAAUUUCAUGCUUCAGAAAAGUAUAAAAUGGGCAUUCAACCCUCCUGCCGCGUCACACUUUGGAGGCGUGUGGGAGAGAUUAAUAAGAUCAGUAAGAAAGGUGUUAUAUUCUGUCAUGCAAGAGCAGAGUCUUCGAUUGAACGAUGAAAAUCUGAAUACAUUGUUUUGUGAAGUGGAAGCAAUCUUGAAUAACCGUCCGAUUUCUGAAGUAUCUGAACACGUAGACGAUUUAAAGGUCCUUACUCCGAACCAUCUUCUCUUAUUAAGACCUGGCGAAUACUUUCCUCCAGGAACUUUUUGUAAAACAGACAAUUACGUAAGAAGACGUUGGCGACAAAUACAAUAUCUAGCAGACAUUUUCUGGAAGAGAUGGACUCAUGAGUAUUUGCCUUUAUUACAAAGUAGGCAAAAGUGGAACUCUGAAAAGCGAAACUUGAAAAUAGGAGACAUUGUAUUGAUCCAGGAUAAUACACCGAGGAAUCUUUGGAACUUAGGAAGAAUCAUUGAAGUACUAAAGGACAAGUCAGACAAUGUUCGUAUAGUGAGGCUAAAAACAUAUUCAACAACAUUAUUACGACCAGUCGCAAAGUUGUGUUUGGUAUUAGAAGCUGAUAUUUAGAGUCAUAGUUUGAACUAGUCAUGUUAGAACAGUAACUUGUGUUUGAAAAGUACUUUGUUGUAUAAAUGGACUAUAUAAAGGUUUAGUUUAUUGAUUGUCACUUAAAUUGGGAAAUUAUUUGGCCUUAUUAUAAUUUUUGAUAAUUGAGUUCUUUAAGACCACAAUUAAGGGGCUGGAAUGUAGCGGCCAAAUUUGAGAACAAAAACCAUUGUUGCCUAUUGUUGUAUUUUUUGGUAAUUAGUGAUAUUCUAUUUUGAGACAAGUUACUUUCCCUUUACUUUAAUGAACCCCUUCAGGGAAUUUGCACGAAACGUGCUUGGUGAAAAUCUUUGAUUAUGAUGAAAAUAAGGAAUACCAGAGUCAACCAAUAUGGUAUGUUUCUUUUAUUUAUUGCAGAUAAAUUAUCUUUCAUGUUUAAAGUUAGAAAUUUUGAGUUUAAUUGAUGUAAAACCGAUGAAAGUUGACCUUGAUAAUUUGGCAAUUAUUUAACGUAAAUGUUCAUGAUAAUACUUUUUUGAAAGAGAACAAGUGUAUGUUACUACCGUAAAUGUUAUGAUAGAUGCACUUUUGUAUUGUAUUAUAAUUCACAAAAUGUUAGUUUUGAUAGUAGAAUUUAGUGUGUUUUAUCUUUUAUUUUGUAGUUAAUCUUUUCGUACCUGAAUAAAGAGAUUUGAACGGAAGGAAUUAGUAUUUAUUUGGUAUAGACAUCAUACUAUUUGAUAA